GUGCUCGCUUCGGCAGCACAUAUACUAAAACUGGAACGAUACAGAAAAGAUUAGCAUGGCCACUGCACAAGGAUGACAUGCAAAUUCGUGAAGCGUUCCAUAUUUUU
rnacentral:snRNA from 1 species